rnacentral:rRNA from 1 species
UACGGGGGGGGCAAGCGUUGUUCGGAAUUACUGGGCGUAAAGGGCUCGUAGGCGGCCAACUAAGUCAAACGUGAAAUCCCUCGGCUUAACCGGGGAACUGCGCUUGAUACUGGAUGGCUUGAGAUUGGGAGAGGGAUGCGGAAUUCCAGGUGUAGCGGUGAAAUGCGUAGAUAUCUGGAGGAACACCGGUGGCGAAGGCGGCAUCCUGGACCGACACUGACGCUGAGGAGCGAAAGCCAGGGGAGCAAACGGG